rnacentral:rRNA from 1 species
CCUACGGGAGGCAGCAGUGAGGAAUAUUGGUCAAUGGGCGCGAGCCUGAACCAGCCAAGUCGCGUGAGGGAAGACGGUCCUAUGGAUUGUAAACCUCUUUUGUCGGGGAGCAAAAGACGCCACGCGUGGCGUUCCGAGAGUACCCGAAGAAAAAGCAUCGGCUAACUCCGUGCCAGCAUCCGCGGUAAUACGGAGGAUGCGAGCGUUAUCCGGAUUUAUUGGGUUUAAGGGGUGCGCAGGCGGAAGAUCAGGUCAGCGGUAAAAUUGAGAGGCUCAACCUCUUCGAGCCGUUGAAACUGGUUUGCUUGAGUGAGCGAGAGGUAUGCGGAAUGCGUGGUGUAGCGGUGAAAUGCAUAGAUAUCACGCAGAACUCCGAUUGCGAAGGCAGCAUACCGGCGCUCAACUGACGCUCAUGCACGAAAGUGUGGGUAUCGAACAGGAUUAGAUACCCGGGUAGUC